UACAGAGGGUGCGAGCGUUAAUCGGAUUUACUGGGCGUAAAGCGCACGCAGGCGGUUGGACAAGUCAGAUGUGAAAUCCCCGGGCUCAACCUGGGAACUGCAUUUGAAACUGUCUGACUAGAGUCUUGUAGAGGGGGGUAGAAUUCCAGGUGUAGCGGUGAAAUGCGUAGAGAUCUGGAGGAAUACCGGUGGCGAAGGCGGCCCCCUGGACAAAGACUGACGCUCAGGUGCGAAAGCGUGGGGAGCAAACAGG
rnacentral:rRNA from 1 species